GAAAGCUCUGUACUGUCGAAGCCGCAGUCUGGCCCCUUUGGCAAACCAGACUCUACUCCGCAGACCCUGAGUCCGGCUGGAGACCACCCCACCGGGCCCUUCAGCUGCGUGUCGGCAGCGUGCUUCUCCCGUGCGCUUUGAGCAAACAAGAGAGGUGGGUGUUGUACAUCUCCUUCACCCGCCGGUAGCGGAAGGCCAGCUUCCUCAUCCAGUCCACGCCACCAUGGACGCCGGAGCCCAGGCACAGGUUGGCUCCCGGGGCCGAACUGUGGAAGCCAUCAGCGGAGAAAUUAUACAACUCCCCACCCUGAAUACAGCUGCUGGACUAACAAGUUGGACAUGUGGAUGGGGGAUGAGUCAGAGUGCCACACGGAGUUAACAGCAGAAGCGACAGCUGGGAACCAGAAGGGGAAAAUGCGUGGGCGAUUCACCACCUACAGCGGCUCGACUGUGAGAAGGAAAACCCCAGCUCUCCACAGACCCCUCUUCCCCUCCACCAGAAGCUUGGUACAGGCUUGCAAAACCACAGGAGUAAAGCUUAUGCUACAGUGUCACCAGGCAAAACCAGAGCCUGACAAGGGAUGUGUGUACCAAAAACUUUAAAAAUCACAGUCUCUUCAGAGAGAAAAAGAUGGGGGAAGCAGGUCAGUGUGGUCCCAUGGCCUCUCAGGGGAUGGGUUUGACUGAUCCAUUUGGAAGUCAAGGUUGGUGCCUCCUCAUCAGGUUCCUGCUGCCAGGAAUUUGAGCACACCUUCCUCCUUCAUUCACAGGACAUCAGAGACUCUGGACAUUGCGGAAGUUUCCCUUUAAGUAAUGAUGGGAAUGUAGAACAACACCUUAUGGACCACUCCCUGGGCAGUGCAGAAAGGUUAGAUAAUUUAUUCUUACAAAAGAACACUGACUACAAACUCAGAGGAUCCCCUGGGGAGAUGCCUGGAUGUUCUGCCAAGAGAUGGAGGCCAGGGAAGGGUGUCCGUGAAUCCUGCCUCCCCCACUUACCAGCUGUGUGAGGUUGGGCAGGUUUCUUAACCUCUCUGUGCCUCAUUCCCCAAGUGUAAAAUGAGGAUGAUUAUAAGAGCAACUAUUUCCUAGGGUUACUGUGAAGAUGCAAUGAGUUAAUUCAAGUAAAGCAUUUGCAACAGGGCAUGGUGCAAAAUAAGGGCAUUGCCAGGGUUGGUUUUUUAGUGUUAACUGAAAAAAAAAAGGGGGGGGGGCAUUUGAUACUUGGUGCCUCACACACAGUAGGUCCUCAAUAGACAGUUCUUUUUUUAAUUGAGGUAUAGUCGAUCUAUAAUGUGUUAAUUUCUGGUGUAGAGCAUAGUGAUUCAGCACAGUGAUACAUACAUAUUCCUUUUUAUAUUCUUUUUCAUUAGAGGUUAUACAAGGUAUUGAAUCUAGUUCUCUGUGCUCUACAGCAGGACCUUGUUGUUUAUCUAUUUUAUGUAUAGUAGUUAGUAUCUGCCAUGAUACAUAUUUCUUGAAUGAAAAAACAGGGAAUUUGGCUUCUAGGGGAGGAAAAACACCCCUGGAUUGCAGAUUCUUGAAGUGAGGUACCAAACCAGCUCAGUACGAGUCAGGGUUCAGGGAACAUUGCUCUAAAUUCCGAGCCAGCCAGCUACAGGGGAAACUAUAAAAACGGAGCCCCGGUUGCUCAUUGCCUUGAAAGGGAGAGUGGUUUCCAGGGAUGACUUCAUGGAAAGGACACAAUUAACCCUGAUCUGGGCUUUAUUUACUCCAUAAAUUGAGAAGUCCUGGCUAGCACUGGAGCCGUGCACCUUGCCAGACCUGACUGCAGAAGGGAUUUUCUCAAUGGCUAAUUAAAACUUAGCAGGUGAUCGAUGCCCACCUAUCACUUCUAAUCGUGCUGGGCUUUGAAAAGGCUUGCAGGGCUCAGUAACAUAAACUCUGAUUUCUUUUUUUUGGAGAAAGUUGGAAGAUACACCCAGGAAGCAAACACUAAGUGAAGUUACCAUGACUGGCCCACAAGCAAAACUUACUUGGUCUCAUAAUAUUUUUGAUGGGCUUAGAGGCGUUGAAUUGUGAUAAUUUUGGAUAAGCACAGAUUAACUAGGGUCCCAUUUUUAUAAAGUCUCCCUAAGGGCAGGCUUGGAACAUUCCAGCCACAUUCUUGUGAGAGAUGUCUCAUUUUGAGCAAUUGGGCACCUUAUUUCCGGAAUUCAUAUUGUAGUAUUGUUUUCUCCUAGAAACCAGACAGAGCACUUACUCAUUCCAAAAAGAUAAUUUUUUGAAUAUCGACUGUAUCAACUUUUAUAUUAAAUAAUAUAUGUAUGUUAAUAAAUGCAGUCAAACCUUGGAGGA